rnacentral:rRNA from 1 species
UACGGGGGGAGCAAGCGUUGUUCGGAUUUACUGGGCGUAAAGGGCGCGUAGGCGGUCAGUGCAAGUCAGUUGUGAAAUCUCCGGGCUUAACUCGGAAAGGUCAACUGAUACUGCUCGACUAGAGUGCGGAAGGGGCAACUGGAAUUCUUGGUGUAGCGGUGAAAUGCGUAGAUAAUCAGGAGGAACACCGGUGGCGAAGGCGGGUCUCUGGGCCGAUGACUGACGCUGAGGAGCGAAAGCGUGGGGAGCGAACAGG